rnacentral:miRNA from 1 species
AGCUGGUGUAGUGAAUU